rnacentral:rRNA from 1 species
GUGACGAAGCGACGCCGCGUGGGUGAAGAAGGCCUUCGGGUUGUAAAACCCUGUCAGGAGUUAAGAAAUGUAAGUGCGCUAAUACCGUGCUUAUUUGACAAAGGCUCCAAAGGAAGCCACGGCUAACUCUGUGCCAGCAGCCGCGGUAAUACAGAGGUGGCGAGCGUUGUUCGGAAUUAUUGGGCGUAAAGAGCACGUAGGUGGUUUUGUAAGUCAGAUGUGAAAGCCUUCUGUUCAAAGGAAGAACGGCAUCUGAAACUGCAAAUCUUGAGUGUAGGAGGGGAGAGUGGAACUUCUGGUGGAGCGGUGAAAUGCGUAGAUAUCAGAAGGAACGUCGGCGGCGAAAGCGACUCUCUGGCCUAUUACUGACACUGAGUGUGCGAAAGUUAGGGGAGCAAACGGGAUUAGAUACCCCGGUAGUCCUAACUGUAAACGAU